UUGCUCUUCUGGAUGAGUUGCGAACGGGUGAGUAACGCGUAGGUAACCUGCCUGGUAGCGGGGGAUAACUAUUGGAAACGAUAGCUAAUACCGCAUAAUAGUAGAUGUUGCAUGACAUUUGCUUAAAAGGUGCAAUUGCAUCACUACCAGAUGGACCUGCGUUGUAUUAGCUAGUUGGUGGGGUAACGGCUCACCAAGGCGACGAUACAUAGCCGACCUGAGAGGGUGAUCGGCCACACUGGGACUGAGACACGGCCCAGACUCCUACGGGAGGCAGCAGUAGGGAAUCUUCGGCAAUGGACGGAAGUCUGACCGAGCAACGCCGCGUGAGUGAAGAAGGUUUUCGGAUCGUAAAGCUCUGUUGUAAGAGAAGAACGAGUGUGAGAGUGGAAAGUUCACACUGUGACGGUAUCUUACCAGAAAGGGACGGCUAACUACGUGCCAGCAGCCGCGGUAAUACGUAGGUCCCGAGCGUUGUCCGGAUUUAUUGGGCGUAAAGCGAGCGCAGGCGGUUAGAUAAGUCUGAAGUUAAAGGCUGUGGCUUAACCAUAGUACGCUUUGGAAACUGUUUAACUUGAGUGCAAGAGGGGAGAGUGGAAUUCCAUGUGUAGCGGUGAAAUGCGUAGAUAUAUGGAGGAACACCGGUGGCGAAAGCGGCUCUCUGGCUUG
rnacentral:rRNA from 1 species